GACGGUGCUCUGACUUUCAACCCCGGUGGGGAUGCUGCUCUGCUCCUCUGCUGCCCGACGGAGGCUGCUUCGCUUUCUGUCGCAGCAAAAGACAGUUCGCACAGGGGCCCGGGACCCCCGUUGGAGGGGGGUUCUUGGUGCUCCGGGAGGAGCACCCUUUGGAGGUGGGUUCUGUUACGCCACGGCCAGCAGAGGGCACUGCGGUACGGCCGCUGACUGGUCACGUGACUCUUUUGUUUUCGUUCACUUCCCGCUUGGACACUGAGUUAAGUCUGAUUAAGUCUCUGAUUUGCCCCAGGUGUUAAUGUUUUAGUUUAAUUAGGUUUGUUAUUUUAACCCCCUGUGUGACUGCGCACAUCGCACAGUAUUAUAGUUGGUUUGGUUCGUCAAGGAAGUGUAACGGUAUGUGCUAAGGUGUAGCAUGCUAGCGGUCGUAGCUAGGGGACCAGAGUGUGUAUAGUCGGUAGAGACCGCGCUCCCUGUGUUUGUUUAUCUGUUUAUUUGUUUCUUGUUUAAAUAAUAAAGACGGUGACCUGCACCUGCAUCCGCCUCCAGCCUCGUUCCGUAACAGUAAAUAUGAAAGCGCGUAACUAGUCCCACACCGUUUGUCGGAGAUCAACAGGUGAGGUGUCAAAUCGAUCGGCUUAUUGAGGACAGGUAUGCUCUGACUUUCGGAAGCGAUCGGGAUGUCGGCAUUCCCGUCGUCACAGUUUUCUGCGUGGUUUAUGCCCCGGCGUUCUCAAGCUUGUGUUUGUGCUUGACAGACGGACGAACGUCCUGAACACUCUCACCUUCAGUGACGCACUAAAGGCCCCUUAACAGGAAGUAGUACUUUC